UCGAGCGGGGAAGAGUAGCUUGCUACUUUACCUAGCGGCGGACGGGUGAGUAAUGCUUAGGAAUCUGCCUAUUAGUGGGGGACAACAUCUCGAAAGGGAUGCUAAUACCGCAUACGUCCUACGGGAGAAAGCAGGGGACCUUCGGGCCUUGCGCUAAUAGAUGAGCCUAAGUCGGAUUAGCUAGUUGGUGGGGUAAAGGCCUACCAAGGCGACGAUCUGUAGCGGGUCUGAGAGGAUGAUCCGCCACACUGGGACUGAGACACGGCCCAGACUCCUACGGGAGGCAGCAGUGGGGAAUAUUGGACAAUGGGGGGAACCCUGAUCCAGCCAUGCCGCGUGUGUGAAGAAGGCCUUUUGGUUGUAAAGCACUUUAAGCGAGGAGGAGGCUACCGAGAUUAAUACUCUUGGAUAGUGGACGUUACUCGCAGAAUAAGCACCGGCUAACUCUGUGCCAGCAGCCGCGGUAAUACAGAGGGUGCAAGCGUUAAUCGGAUUUACUGGGCGUAAAGCGCGCGUAGGUGGCCAAUUAAGUCAAAUGUGAAAUCCCCGAGCUUAACUUGGGAAUUGCAUUCGAUACUGGUUGGCUAGAGUAUGGGAGAGGAUGGUAGAAUUCCAGGUGUAGCGGUGAAAUGCGUAGAGAUCUGGAGGAAUACCGAUGGCGAAGGCAGCCAUCUGGCCUAAUACUGACACUGAGGUGCGAAAGCAUGGGGAGCAAACAGGAUUAGAUACCCUGGUAGUCCAUGCCGUAAACGAUGUCUACUAGCCGUUGGGGCCUUUGAGGCUUUAGUGGCGCAGCUAACGCGAUAAGUAGACCGCCUGGGGAGUACGGUCGCAAGACUAAAACUCAAAUGAAUUGACGGGGGCCCGCACAAGCGGUGGAGCAUGUGGUUUAAUUCGAUGCAACGCGAAGAACCUUACCUGGUCUUGACAUAGUAAGAACUUUCCAGAGAUGGAUUGGUGCCUUCGGGAACUUACAUACAGGUGCUGCAUGGCUGUCGUC
rnacentral:rRNA from 1 species